GUGUAAUGCAGACUUAUAAAGAUAAAAGCCAGGAGGAGUUGAGGUUUGAGGACUACCAGUUAGGUGAUAAAGGUGAGGAAUGGCAUAAUAGAUGCUACACUUAAUACUGCCAAUUUCAUGAAAGGAGAGAUAUCAUAUUUACUUUUCGAGAGCAGCGAAGCGGCUUUGAAUUGGUCGAAAAGCUAAAUCUUCCCAUUGUGAAAGUAGUUAUGCACAUUGAGCUGUACUCUUCUCCAAAAAUGUUAGUAAUAACUGCAAUAUCUCAGUGGAAUUUCUUAUGGAACAUUAGCCUUUAAGACCAAAUACACUCAGAAGAAAGACCACUUAAGCUAUUGCCUGGGGAUGACCUAUAGACACUCUUUGAAUAUGUUUUUCCCAUGAUUUCUCUGCCAAAUGGAUUAAGUACAGCUUUCUUUCUCACCUGUGGUCCAGGGACAUUAGCCUUUAAUGCAGCAACAAAUGCUACAUCUGGUCAAACACAAAACAAAUCUCCGGG